rnacentral:rRNA from 1 species
UGGCUCAGGAUGAACGCUAGCUACAGGCUUAACACAUGCAAGUCGAGGGGCAGCAUGGGAGUUGCUUGCAAUUCCUGAUGGCGACCGGCGCACGGGUGAGUAACGCGUAUCCAACCUUCCCCUAGUAGGGCAUAGCCCGGUGAAAAUCGGAUUAACACCCUAUGUUCUUCACAGCAGACAUCUAACGUGAAGCAAAGGUUCACCGCUAAGGGAUGGGGAUGCGUCUGAUUAGGUAGUAGGCGGGGUAACGGCCCACCUAGCCUUCGAUCAGUAGGGGUUCUGAGAGGAAGGUCCCCCACAUUGGAACUGAGACACGGUCCAAACUCCUACGGGAGGCAGCAGUGAGGAAUAUUGGUCAAUGGGCGAGAGCCUGAACCAGCCAAGUAGCGUGCAAGGAUGACGGCCCUAUGGGUUGUAAACUGCUUUUAUAUGGGGAUAAAGUUCACCACGUGUGGUGUUUUGUAGGUACCAUAUGAAUAAGGACCGGCUAAUUCCGUGCCAGCAGCAGC